rnacentral:rRNA from 1 species
GACGAACCGUGCAAACGUUAUUCGGAAUCACUGGGCAUAAAGGGCGCGUAGGCGGCUUCAUAAGUCAGGGGUGAAAUCCUGCAGCUUAACUGUAGAAGGGCCUUUGAUACUGGCGAGCUCGAGGGAGGUAGGGGUAUGUGGAACUUCCGGUGGAGCGGUGAAAUGCGUUGAUAUCGGAAGGAACGCCGGUGGCGAAAGCGACGUACUGGACCUCUUCUGACGCUGAGGCGCGAAAGCUAGGGGAGCAAACGGG